rnacentral:rRNA from 1 species
AACGAACGCUGGCGGCAUGCCUAACACAUGCAAGUCGAACGAGACCUUCGGGUCUAUUGGCGCACGGGUGCGUAACGCGUGGGAACCUGCCCUUAGGUUCGGCAUAACUCCCCGAAAGGGGUGCUAAUACCGGAUAAUGUCUUCGGACCAAAGAUUUAUCGCCUUUGGAUGGGCCCGCGUUGGAUUAGCUAGUUGGUAGGGUAAAAGCCUACCAAGGCGACGAUCCAUAGCUGGUCUGAGAGGAUGAUCAGCCACACUGGGACUGAGACACGGCCCAGACUCCUACGGGAUGCAGCAGUGGGGAAUAUUGGACAACGGGCGAAAGGCUGAUCCAGCAAUGACGCGUGAGUGAUGAAGGCAUUAGGGUUGUAAAGCGCUUUUAACCGGGAUGAUAAUGACAGUACCGGGAGAAUAAGCUCCGGCUAACUACGUG